GCGUCAACCGUGCUUUUGGAUUUUGUGUUUUCCGCCGAGCUACCUUUUUUUUCCUCUCUCUCUCUCUUCCCUCUCUCCUUCUCUUCUCUCUUGAGUCUUAACCAAAGUGCUUUUUUCUCUCCAUUUCUCAUUCUUCUUUCACCAACUUACUCUCCUAACUUUUCUCUUCCAAACCCUAGUGUCUUCACUCCAAUUCUCUUACUUCCUCAGAUCCACCAUCGCUGCUACAUUUUGGUUCAGAUUUCCUCCGGUUCUACUGCACUUUUGCAAAAGUUGGUUGUGCAGUCUCAGUUUUCAGUCAACAUCUUUAAGUCUUCAUUGGGUUCAGGAUUCAAUUAUGGCCAGUGACACUGUUGUGAGCCUUCCUAAUGGCAAUGCCAAUAUACAGCCUGAUCCACAGAGGACGUACCAAGUUGUUGUGGCUGCAACUCGAGAUAUGGGUAUUGGUAAGGAUGGGAAACUACCCUGGAGAUUGCCUUCUGACAUGAAAAUUUUCAAGGACAUUACUAUGACUGUGUCAGAUACGGUGAAAAAGAAUGCAGUUAUAAUGGGUAGAAAAACAUGGGAAAGUAUUCCUCUUGAGCAUCGGCCUCUGCCUGGCCGCCUAAAUGUUGUUCUGACUCGUUCUGGAAGUUUUGAUAUUGCAACUGCAGAGAAUGUUGUAAUAUGUGGAAGCAUGGCUUCUGCUUUGGAACUAUUAGCCGCAUCUCCCUAUUGUCUGUCCAUUGAAAAAGUGUUUGUUAUAGGAGGUGGCCAGAUACUAAGGGAAGCUCUCAAUGCACCUGGAUGUGAUGCUAUCCACAUUACAGAAAUUGAGACAAGCUUCGAAUGUGACACUUUCAUCCCUGCUAUUGAUUCCUUGGUAUUUCAGCCUUGGUACUCAUCCUUCCCAUUGGUGGAAAACAAUAUUCGUUAUUCUUUCAUGACUUAUGUUCGUGUGAGAAGUUCUGCAGACGAAUCCCAAAUCCAGAACAAUGGUGACAGUGGGUUGGAAUCCAUUAAAUUUGAUAUUAAGAAGUUCUCUUUCUUGCCCAAGAUGAUCUUUGAGAGGCAUGAGGAAUACAUCUAUCUGAGAUUGGUUGAAGACAUCAUCUUAAAUGGUGUUCAAAGGGAUGAUAGGACAGGGACUGGUACUUUAUCAAAGUUUGGUUGCCAGAUGCGGUUUAAUCUACGAAAAAUUUUUCCGCUUCUUACAACUAAGAAAGUAUUUUGGCGAGGGGUUGUUGAAGAACUACUGUGGUUCAUCAGUGGCUCAACAAAUGCUAAGGUCCUACAGGAAAAGGGAAUUCAUAUAUGGGAUGGCAAUGCAUCCAGGGACUACCUUGAUAGUAUUGGCUUGGCAGACAGGGAAGAGGGUGACUUGGGACCCAUAUAUGGGUUCCAGUGGAGGCACUUUGGUGCUAGCUAUAUUGACAUGCAUGCUGACUAUACUGGCCAAGGAUUUGAUCAGUUGUUAGAUGUUAUUAACAAGAUCAAGAAUAAUCCGAAUGAUCGACGGAUUAUCCUCUCAGCUUGGAAUCCUUCUGAUCUCAAAUUGAUGGCACUUCCACCCUGCCAUAUGUUUGCACAGUUCUAUGUAAGCCAUGGGGAGUUAUCAUGCCAAAUGUACCAGCGAUCUGCCGACAUGGGUCUUGGUGUGCCGUUUAACAUUGCAUCUUAUGCGCUCUUAACAUGCAUGAUCGCUCAUGUUUGUGACCUUGUUCCUGGUGAUUUCAUCCAUGUUAUUGGGGACUCUCAUGUUUAUCGGACUCAUAUCAGGCCUCUGCAGGAGCAGCUUCAGAAGCUUCCUAAACCUUUUCCAAUUUUGAAGAUCAAUCCACAGAAGAAGAACAUUGAUUCUUUUGUGGCAGCUGAUUUCCAACUCAUAGGUUAUGAUCCUCAUCAGAAAAUAGAGAUGAAAAUGGCGGUAUAGAGCUCCAAUCCAUUAAAGAAAACAUGGAGGCUCUUCCUCCCCUUUCAGGCUAUAUAUGCUUGUAGUUUUGAGGCACGGCUAAUGGAAGUUAAUGUUGAUAGUUAUAUACAAAUAAAAAACUCCUAGAGUUGGAUACACUUGAAGCUCUACAUAUGUAGUAACUGAGAAUCCUUUAGUUCCUCUUACAAAAUGUUGGUUCUAAGGUGAUUUAGGAUAUAUAUUUAUUUUCACUUUUUGGAAUCUGUGUUGUUUUGUCUGUUAUAAUUGCUGUUUUCAGUCACUACAAAUACCUUUCGAGCACUGUUGAGAAACAAAUGGGAACCUGAGAUGACCCAAUUUUUCAUCUUGAAGUGGUUAUCUAGUUGGUGGAACUAUUUCUAUUUUGUUGCUUAAAAGAAUUCCUUUGUAGCUU